AAAAGAUUAGUUUAAUUAAAACAUUAGAAUGUCAAACUAAAAAUAUAUAUUAUAUCUUUUA
rnacentral:tRNA from 1 species